CCUUACGGGAGGCAGCAGUGGGGGAAUAUUGCACAAUGGGGGAAACCCUGAUGCAGCCAUGCCGCGUGUGUGAAGAAGGCCUUCGGGUUGUAAAGCACUUUCAGCAGUGAGGAAGGUGGUGUACUUAAUACGUGCAUCAUUUGACGUUAGCUGCAGAAGAAGCACCGGCUAACUCCGUGCCAGCAGCCGCGGUAAUACGGAGGGUGCGAGCGUUAAUCGGAAUUACUGGGCGUAAAGCGCAUGCAGGUGGUGGAUUAAGUCAGAUGUGAAAGCCCGGGGCUCAACCUCGGAAGGUCAUUUGAAACUGAUUCACUAGAGUACUGUAGAGGGGGGUAGAAUUUCAGGUGUAGCGGUGAAAUGCGUAGAGAUCUGAAGGAAUACCAGUGGCGAAGGCGGCCCCCUGGACAGAUACUGACACUCAGAUGCGAAAGCGUGGGGAGCAAACAGGAUUAGAUACCCUGGUAGUCCACGCCGUAAACGAUGUCUACUUGGAGGUUGUGGCCUUGAGCCGUGGCUUUCGGAGCUAACGCGUUAAGUAGACCGCCUGGGGAGUACGGUCGCAAGAUUAAAACUCAAAUGAAUUGACGGGGGCCCGCACAAGCGGUGGAGCAUGUGGUUUAAUUCGAUGCAACGCGAAGAACCUUACCUACUCUUGACAUCCAGAGAACUUAGCAGAGA
rnacentral:rRNA from 1 species